GGCUAUGACGAGCACUGCUUUAUUCUGACACCUCUUGUUUGAGAAGGGACUCGUAGAAGAGUGCCCUUCCUUGAGCAGAUUUAGCAAUGAACUGAGCC
rfam:Musa acuminata subsp. malaccensis Doubled-haploid Pahang (DH-Pahang) genomic chromosome, chr9